rfam:Triticum aestivum genome assembly, contig: Triticum_aestivum_CS42_TGACv1_scaffold_129902_2BL
UAUGUACUCCUUCCAUCCGAGAAAGCUUGUCCCUCAAAUGGAUGUAUCUAGCACUAACUUGGUUCUAGAUACAUCCAUUUGAGGGACAAGCUUGGGACAAGCUUUUUUGGACGGAGGGAGUACGUA